UCUCCGUUGGUGAACCAGCGGAGGGAUCAUUACAGGACUCGCAAGACUCCUACAACCCUGUGAACUUAACUAUAAGCACGUUGCUUCGGCGGGUGUCUCGGGGGGGGUUCUCCCUCCCCGAGACGCUAAACCCGCCGGCAGCCUACUAUACUCUGUCUCUUUGCGUUGGCAUCUCGGGUACAAUCAAACAAGUUAAAACUUUCAACAACGGAUCUCUUGGUUCUG
rnacentral:misc_RNA from 1 species